UACGGAGGGUGCGAGCGUUGUCCGGAAUCACUGGGCGUAAAGCGCGUGUAGGCGGUCCGAUAAGUCGGUUGUGAAAGUCAAGGGCUCAACCCUUGAAUGCCGACCGAUACUGUCGGGCUAGAGUCCGGAAGAGGCGAGUGGAAUUCCUAGUGUAGAGGUGAAAUUCGUAGAUAUUAGGAAGAACACCAGUGGCGAAGGCGGCUCACUGGCCCGGUACUGACGCUGAGGCGCGAAAGCGUGGGGAGCAAACAGG
rnacentral:rRNA from 1 species